GUUUUUUUUUUUUUCCAAGAUAUAGUAUAAUGACCAUUACAUUACAUAAAACAUUUAUUAUUUAAUCAAGCAAUGCAUCAUACAAUAUAACCGGAUUCAAUUACAAUUUAAUCAAGUCCUUACCAAACAUUACUAAACAUAUCCGCAACCAUGGCCAUGAACCUCCAAAGUCUGAAGAGCGCAUAUCAAAAUUCAACACAAAUGUAAAUUCUAAAAUUUGUAUGAAUUCCAUUUAGAGGAAGUAACCGUUACUGCAUAUCCAGCCAAAAUUUAAUAUAAUGAUGUACGAUGAAUUAGCACCGCAUACAACAGAAUCACAAGAAGACACCAUUGCCACAUACAAGAUAGGUUUUCGAUACUUCACGGUAU
rnacentral:misc_RNA from 1 species